GGACGUGUUCACUGUGAUACUCCAUGACCUCAGGUCGACUAUAUAAAUCGGUGACAAUAUGAGGAAGGCCAUCAGACGUCGCUGCACCGUCGAGACGUCUCCAGCUAACAGACUUGCAUCAUGAAAACUGCGAUUAUUUUCGCGUGUUUGUUUCUGGCCGUCGCAGCGAAACCCCAGUUACAGCUUGGCGGACAAACCCAAACCCUGGACGCCAGUGGCAAUCCCAUCUCGCCUCUCGCUAUCCAGGAGACUUCUCCAGCCCAGCAGGACAAUGGAGACGAGAGUCGUGUCUCCAUCAGCCAGAGUUCUGAGCCGGACAUGGAGAGCUACUGCCGCCGCGUGCUGAACCUAAACUGAGACAGAGAGGAGCUACGACGCCUGCUCGGUGGAGUCAAGCGUCGCCUCGGGAACAGCUACACUUUGAGCUGGUAACAAUAUCACCAUGUGAACAGCCGCAGCCAGCUUGUAGCGUACUGCAGUAUUGUUCAGACUGGCGUGCAUUAUAUGAAAAGCGACAUUUUCGGGAUUAACAAUGUUUCGGCUUUUGUGUUGCACCAACUAUGUAUGAUGUGAUGCACACAAUACAUGAUGUGAUGUAACCAUGCACACUGCUUAUCGUUGUUGUUCAAAGCAAUUUUGGAAUUGUAUGUACUAUCCUCAAAUGCGUUGAGGAAAGUCCCAAUACAAUGUAUUGUAUUGUAAGUACCUAUUAGCCGAUUUUCGUCUUCGUAAAUGAUAAUCUAAGC